rnacentral:rRNA from 1 species
GACGUAGGGGGCCAGCGUUGUUCGGAAUUACUGGGUGUAAAGGGUUCGUAGGCGGUGUGGCAAGUCGGGUGUGAAAUCUCUGGGCUCAACCCAGAGGCUGCUUCCGAAACUGCUGCGCUUGAGUGUGGGAGAGGCGCGUGGAAUUGCAGGUGUAGCGGUGAAAUGCGUAGAUAUCUGCAGGAACACCCGUGGCGAAAGCGGCGCGCUGGACCACUACUGACGCUGAAGAACGAAAGCUAGGGGAGCAAACAGG